GUUUCUCGCCAGUCAAGAUGGAGGACAGUGGAGUGGACACUUCGUGUCCACAGACUCAGACUCAGACUACACACAUUUCGUGUUUAUACCCAGAAAUCUUGGCGCUUAUAUUCAGUUACUUGGAUGUUAAGGACAGGGGGCGUGUGGCCCAAGUGUGUGCUAACUGGCGGGACGCUGCCUAUCAUAAGAGCGUGUGGAGAGGAGUAGAGGCAAAGCUCCACCUGCGCAGGGCCAACCCGUCUUUGUUCGAGUCGCUGGGGUGUCGAGGGAUUCGCCGUGUGCAGGUGCUCUCGCUACGGCGGGUGCUGAGAGACGUGAUCAGCGGGGUGCCUAAUAUUACCUCCCUUAACCUCUCCGGCUGCUACAACGUCUCCGACAUCAGCAUCACUCAUGCCUUCGCCAACGAGUGUCCCUCGCUCACCCACCUCAACCUCUCGCUCUGCAAGCAGGUCUCAGAUUCUGCGCUGGGAAAAAUCGCUCAGCAGCUGAGAAACUUGGAGGUGCUCGAGUUGGGAGGGUGUUCCUACAUUACCAACACUGGCUUGCUGCUGGUGGCGUGGGGACUGAAAAAACUGCGAGAGCUGAACCUGAGGUCAUGCUGUCUAGUGAGCAACCAAGGUAUUGCUUACCUGGCGGGCCAGCACAAGGAGGCUGCAGACGGCACGAGGGCGCUGGAAUACCUCGGCCUCCAGGACUGCCAGAAGCUGUCGGACGAGGCCCUCAGGCAUGUCGCCAAUGGGCUUCCAAACCUCAAAAGUAUAAACCUGUCGUUCUGUGCCAGCAUCACAGACUCGGGCCUCAAGUACCUGGCCCGGAUGCCCAGUCUGCGAGAGCUGAAUCUGAGGUCGUGCGACAACAUCUCGGACAUCGGCAUUGCUUACCUGGCUGAGGGAGGCUCGUGCAUUACCACGCUGGACGUCUCCUUCUGUGACAAAAUUGGGGAUCAGGCCCUGGUCCACAUAUCCCAGGGGCUGUUCACGCUGAGGUCGCUGUCGUGCUCGGCCUGCCAAAUCAGCGACGACGGCAUUCAACGCAUUGCCCGCACCCUGCAUGAGCUUGACACCCUCAACAUUGGGCAGUGUGUGCGCAUCACGGACAAGGGACUGCAGCUCAUUGCUGAGCACCUCACCAAUCUUUACUGCAUUGACCUCUACGGCUGCAAUCGCAUCACCACGGUGGGUCUCGAGAGGAUUAUGCAGCUGCCCCGCCUGUCCGUGCUGAACCUGGGGUUGUGGCACAAGCAAAAACGGUGACGCUUGUCACACUUAGGUCACCCUAACCAAUCCCCAACCCAGAUUCAGCAGGUGCUCAGCCCCACCGAACAUUCAAGGUAAAUUUUCCGGGCCGACGGCUCAGUCAAAACAGGUAACUGUGCUGUCACUGGUCCCUGGACGGAUCUCCUUGGCUGUGUGCUGUUCACGAGUUGCUUCUGCGGUGUCACUUAUCUAGGGCUGUGCUAUGUAAAGAACUCUUCGUGUAGAACUUGCUCAGGGUGUCAGGGAAAAGUAUUCCUAUAUGUAUACUGUUAGAGACCCAACCCAGUGUGUCGCUGUGCUGGUGUCUAUGAGCUGUACAUUUGGUCAGUGUUAGACUGUUCUGCCAGUGCCAUGAGUGCUGGCGGUCACCCUCCCGCCAGGGGCGUCAUGACGUGCCCUCCGUGCCAUGAGAGGUGCUUGUUCCCGCAGUACUCGCUACGACUUCCUGUUUUAAGGUCGUCUUAUUCUAUGGUAGUAACUACAACGAAUGGCAUCAGUCCAUUACGCCUCCACUGUUCAGUCCCUCGCAGGUCUUCUUCUUGUCUUAGUUACCCAGCAACAUUGGAGAGGGAUUAUGGUGCCAAUCAAUGCCAACUUUACAAAGUCUGGUGUUAGUUUUAGUGAACAAGUGUCAGCAGAAAUCUUUGAACGUUUGUAUAUAAGGUAGUGCCGUGAUAACCAAUGUGAUAUUGUGUCUGAGUGAUUCAGGUCUCGAGAGGGGCACUGCGCUGGCCUCGUGUGUGUGUGUGUGUGUGUGUGUGUGUGUGUGUGUGUGUGUGUGUGUGUGUGUGUGUGU
rnacentral:misc_RNA from 1 species